GCCAGAACAGAAGCACUCAGCUCUUUUCUUGACAUCAUACGCCUCCCGCCUACUUCUGUGUGCGCAGUACACUCUGCUAAUUGCAUGCCCUGGCUUCUGAAGUCCGGGCCACUGAUUUAUGUCAGAGCACGGGCUGAUGGAAGGAGACGUCCAAGCUGGGCUUGCCAGCUGGCCUCCCGGCCCCUCUACAUGUCGACAGGUAUGUGAUGCUCUUUGUAAGUCUGUGUUUCUCCUUGUUAGUAAGGUUGAUACCACUAAUUCUAUUUGUCUUGAAGAUGCAAAAGAACAAAAGUGGGGAGGAAAGAGUGGUAGGAAGAUUGCCAUGACUGAGGUGUGUUUUGAGUAAACAACCACAGCUGGCUGCACCUUGUUAUCGUGCUUAUAAGACAUAUUUUCUAAGCCUGUAUCACAUUUGCAAACUCAAAUUAGGAGUGGAUAUAAAUUGAUGUUCAGAUGUAAUCACAGUUUUUCAAAUCUAACCCAAAUCACUCUCUCUCAUAUCCUUUAACAUUUUUGAAAUAUUAUUUAGCUCAUAUAUGGUUCUGCUCCAGUCAUUAAUAAAAAAACUGAAGGGAUUUUCUUCUACCAAAUAUUCCCAAAUGUGAACCACCUGUACAAGGGAUUCUCCACUUACUGUUGCAUUUUGCGUGGACAUGGAUUGGGAUGCUUUCUCAGGAUGAUGACACUAUAGAGAAGUUUAAAGAGGACAUGUUCCCAUUGUUUUCCAAAAGGGGCAUCUGCUUUGACUUCAUAGAGAAAUUCCCCAAACAAACUUCUUCUAGUGAUUUUGGUGACAUGCUAGAAGAGGGCUUGAAAUCUAUCAAAGUUGUUAUGGAAAGCACUGCCAAAGUUGUGGUUGUAUAUGGAGAAAUUCAGAGUAUAAUGGCAAUGAGAUCAAUGCACCAGCUUUUACAAUUUGCAAAUAUAUCAGUGAAUAUCCAGACAAAAGUCUGGAUUAUGACAGCUCAGAUGGAUUUCACAUCAUUUCCGUUCCAAAGAAGUUCAGACAUAAAUUUCCUCCAUGGUGCUGUAUCUCUUGCAAUUCACUCAAAGGAGGUGUCAGGAUUCCAUAAAUUUAUUCAGCAUAGGAACCCUUACUCAGAAAACAAUGAUGGUUUCAUAAAGGACUUCUGGGAAGAAUCAUUCAGCUGUACAUACCCCAAUUCUUUUGUAGACAAGAUGAACAAGAAAGUCUGCACUGGGGAGGAGAAGCUAGAGACCCUUCCCACAUCUGUUUUUGAAAUGUCUAUGACAGGAAAUAGCUACAGCAUCUACAAUGCGGUCUAUGCAGUGGCACAUGCAUUCAGUACAAGGCAUUCAUCCCAAGUCAAACACAGAGCAAUGGCAGAUGGAGUAAGAUUGGACCAACAACCAUGGCAGGUAAUGUCCUGCUCAUGAUUUUAAAGAUUGAGGUAUACCCCCAUAUUUGUAGGUGCAAAAACUUCCCAUUGCAUGCAUCUCCAUCCAAGACCUUUAGCAACUAUUCACUGAUUUUAUGGCAAUUUCUACUCUAUGGUAGAAAAAGGGAGGCAAGACCUGAUGUGAGAGCUAGGAAAACGUAUCAUUUCCUUUCUCCAGUACAUUUUGCGUUUUAUUUUUAAAAAAAAAUAAUGAGGGGGGGCAGCUCUGGUUUAGGGCGACGUAAGCUUAAGCUUGAGCUCUGCUCUGGCUCUGGAGUGGUUGGCUAUCGGACGGUGUAGGGGCUAUCGGGCAAUUGCCCUAAAAAAGUUCAACAACUCUUUCGUCCAGAUUUUUACCUCUUAAAAUGUGGCAUAAGCCUAGAAUGGUGGUUGUGCUGGGGGUGGAUGUGUUUAAACUGUCUCUUCAAGCCUAAAAGCCAGGACAAACUCAAAGCUUCCUCUCCUCAUUUUAGUCAGCCCCUUUUCAUUUUAGUGAUUAUGGGGUAAGUGGGUAGGUGUGGAUUCUUCCAUUUUUUUCUAGAGGAGGAAUUACUGGAAACAAAAAGGCAAAAGCACAUUUUCAUAGAUGCCAAAGUUUCUCCACUGUGCUGUAUUUUGAACAAGGGAGCAGGUGGGGCUGUCGUCUAAACCACGGGUUUUCUUGGGUUUGCCAAUUGUAAGGACAGCAGUUUGAAUCCAUGUAACGGGUGAGCUCCUGUUCCUCAGUCCCAGCUCCUGCCAACCUAGCAGUUCAAAAGCAUACCAGUGCAAGUAAAUAAAUAGGUACUGCUGUGGCAGGAAGGUAAACAGUGUUUCCAUGUGUCCUAUCACUCAUCACCGUGUCCUGUUGUGCCAGAAGCACUUUAAUCAUGCUGGCCACGACCCAAAAAUCUGUUUGUGGACAAAGACCGGCUCCCACGGCCUGAAGCGAGAUGAGCGCCACACCACAUAGUCAAGUUUUACUUAACCAUCCAGGUGUCCUUUACCUUUACCUUUACCUUUACUUAGAAGAGUAUAUGUCAAGCACUAUCUCAGGGGCAUUGUGGGGGGGGACACACAUCUCCUGACAUUUUAGGUCAUUUACUAUCAUUUCUACUAGGAUUCCUUUCAAGAAAACAUAAUCCAAAAUCUUCAUGUCUGAUAGAUUAUAACCUUGAUGUGCAUUUGCAUCCUUUGCACCUUUUAAGUACAGCCUUCUAUUUCCCCCCCUCAUAAAUUAGCUGCAUCAUGUUCUCAGAAGUAUUUCUUUUAACAACAGUGUGGAGGAAACAGUUUCCUUUGAUCAACAUGGGGAAAUAAUUGCUGGAUUUGAUAUUAUAAACUGGAUCACAUUUCCAAACCACUCCUUCCUCAGGGUCAAAGUUGGAAAGAUUGACCCAAUGGUUUACCAGGACAAUGUCUUCAUCAUUAAUGAGGAUGUCAUCAUAUGGCCCAACCAGUUUAAACAGGUAGUGACUGUGCACAUUUUGGGAUCUAUUGAAUAAUUUCCUCAAUGUUUAAAAAGUCACAUUGCCUCCAGAUUUUGAAGUGGAUGUUAGAAUGCUAAAGACAAAUGUAUGGAGUUCAAACAACACUGUCAUAAUGUGUAUUUUGUCUCAUGUUUUCUUAAUGUGGGUAAAGGACUCCAGUUAUAGGGACGUUCACCACAUAAAUAUGAUGCACACUCAAGAAUUCAUUAUAUUUCCUUAUGACAGUAUCAACCCAUUCCUUCACUGCAGAGAAAUAAUAAUGAAAUAAAAGCCCCACAACUUAUUUUUGGAUUUUUUAAAAAACUAUUUUAUCAUUUAAUAACAGAUGUGUCCCAUUUCCAUAUGCAAUGAUCACUGCAGUUCAGGUUACAGAAGAGCUAAAAAAGAAGGGAAGGCAUUUUGCUGCUAUGAUUGCUUUCCAUGUCCAGAAGGGAAGAUUUCAAACCAGAAAGGUAAUGAAUGUCAUAUGUAGAUGUGUUCUGUUUAACAGUUACCAUCUAUUUAACAGAUGGAUACCAUUUAUUUUAUAAAUAGAUCGGCUACAAUCCAGCUUGCUCCCAUCAGCCUUUUAAAUGCUUAAACUAAUUGCUCUAACAUUCAAAAUUGUGAAAUGUUAGCAUCCACAAAGCAUAUGUAAAGGGUUAAUGGCAAGAACCGUAGAACUCUGUGAUGUCAUACACUCUGUGGCCGUUAUGGCAGUUAGUUGAACAGUCUUAACAGUUAGAACAGGAGGUUUGUUUUGUGCUGCUGCUGUCUGCCUAAGAGAUAUCUGAAGAAGUGUGCAUGCACACAAAAGCUUAUACCCUGAACUAACUUAGUCGGUUUCUAAGCUGCUACUGGACAAUUUUCUUAUUAUCUUAUUUUACAUAGAUCAAACUGUUACAGUCUGUAACAGUUUAAUCUAUGUAAAAGCUAUUAGCAAUUUAAGUAUCACCUACCUGCAUUGAACAUAAUAAUCUGCAACUGCAAGAAUACUAAGUCAAAGUUAUUUGUUCUUUAAACUUUAAACAGAGAGUGUCUUGUGUAGUUACUAUAGGAGGGAAAAUAGAAAUAAUAAAAGGGUCAAACGAUCCAGGGCUAUCUUCCACAUAUUUCACAUGAGGUAACUUGGGUGGCUGAACAAAAUACAGUCAUACCUUGAGUUGAAUGUGCUUCGGGUUGAGCACAUUCUAGUUGCGCUCCACUGCAACCCGGAAGUAAUGGAUCGCAUUACUUUCGGGUUUCGCUGCUCGCGCAUGUGCAGAUGCUAAAAAUUACGUCACGUGCAUGCACGGAAGCAGCGAAACGCGACCCAUGCACACACAGAUGCGCCGUAGCGUCUCGCGUUCUAUUUGGGAUGCGAAUGGGGCUCCGGAACAGAUCCCGUUCACAUUACGAGGUACCACUGUAUAGGAAAAAUUCAUAGGGCAUAAGAAUAUUAGUGGGUUGGAAUAGCUGAAACAAAAAGACUGUGUAAGCCCCAGCCCCAAACACACAAAUCAAUAGACACAGAGGCCUCUGCUAUCUUCAGCCGCUAGCAGGAUGGCUGAGAUUUGUUUAUAUUUCUGGAUUUGCUUGGAACACAUGAGAAAGCAGGCCACUAAUGCCACUGAACUCAGAUUAUGCAGGAGGUAGAACUUCCUAUUAUUCUUACUGCAAAAUCAACUUUUGAUAUUUCAAGUUCACUACCCUCAUUCAGGAACAGAAAGCCAUAUUUAGAUAGCCUUUUAUGUUUAUUUUUCAUAUUUGAUUUCAGACAUGGAUGAUUGUUUUCAAUGUUCAGAAGAUCAGUAUCCAAACAUUGGCCAAGAUAUAUGUCUUCCAAAAGAAAUAAGCUUCCUGACUUACAAUGAGCCUCUGGGGAUCAGUUUCGUCACACUUGCUCUUUUAUUGACCUUCACUACAACUUUGGUGCUUAGGAUCUUCAUCAAGCACAAAGAAACUCCCAUAGUCAAAGCCAACAAUCGGACCCUCACCUAUGUUCUCCUCCUAGCCCUCGUUCUCUCCUUCCUUUGUCCUUUACUUUUCAUUGGCCAGCCCAUAAGAAUAACCUGCCUCCUUCGACAAACUGCUUUUGCAGUGAUCUUCUCAGUAGCAGUGUCUUGCAUCUUAGCAAAAACAACUAUAGUGGUUCUAGCUUUCAUGGCUACCAAGCCAGGCUCCAGAAUGAGGAGAUGGGUGGGGGGAAAUCUGGCCAUCUCCAUUGUUCUUUUCAGCUUCCUCAUUCAAGUGAUGAUUUGUAGUGCCUGGCUGAUAGUUGCUCCCCCACUCCCUGAUUUAGACAAGCACUCAGUGACUAAAGAAAUUGUACUGGAAUGUAACGAAGGAUCAGUCACCAUGUUCUACUGUGUCCUAGGCUUCAUGGGAAUGCUGGCCAUGGUCAGUUUCACUGUGGCUUUCCUAGCUAGGAAGUUACCAGACAGUUUUAAUGAAGCCAAGUUCAUCACCUUCAGCAUGUUGGUCUUUUGCAGUGUGUGGCUAUCCUUUGUUCCUACCUACCUGAGUACCAAGGGAAAGUACAUGGUGGCUGUGGAGAUCUUUUCUAUUAUGGCCUCUAGUUUUGGGUUACUAGGCUGUAUCUUCUUCCCCAAAUGUUAUAUCAUUUUGGUGAGGCCAGAGUUAAACAGCAGGGGACAGCUUACAAUAAGAAAGAAAUAAAGCAUGAACAAGUGUAUUUAAUGUAGCAUAUAAUAGCUGGACUGAAUCCACUUGUAUUCAUUUUGCCUCAACCCAACAAAACUCUCCCCAAAAUCCCAUAGAGCAGACCAUGUAGCUGUUCUCCCUGGACUUUCCUCUUACACAGUACUGUUAUUAAGGGAAGCAGUGGCUCAUGUAACCUAGACUCAUAGAGCUGGAAGGGA